rnacentral:rRNA from 1 species
UCCUGGAAACGGGUGGUAAUGCCGGAUGUUCCACAUGAGCGCAUACGAGUGUGGGGAAAGGCUUUUGCGGCAUGGGAUGGGGUCGCGUCCUAUCAGCUUGUUGGUGGGGUAACGGCCUACCAAGGCGUUGACGGGUAGCCGGCCUGAGAGGGCGACCGGCCACAUUGGGACUGAGAUACGGCCCAGACUCCUACGGGAGGCAGCAGUGGGGAAUAUUGCACAAUGGGCGCAAGCCUGAUGCAGCGACGCCGCGUGCGGGAUGGAGGCCUUCGGGUUGUAAACCGCUUUUGUUCAAGGGCAAGGCACGGUUUCGGCCGUGUUGAGUGGAUUGUUCGAAUAAGCACCGGCUAACUACGUGCCAGCAGCCGCGGUAAUACGUAGGGUGCAAGCGUUAUCCGGAUUUAUUGGGCGUAAAGGGCUCGUAGGCGGUUCGUCGCGUCCGGUGUGAAAGUCCAUCGCUUAACGGUGGAUCCGCGCCGGGUACGGGCGGGCUUGAGUGCGGUAGGGGAGACUGGAAUUCCCGGUGUAACGGUGGAAUGUGUAGAUAUCGGGAAGAACACC